rnacentral:lncRNA from 1 species
GGGAUUACUUGAGCAGCCAGACGCCUCCAUCUUUGGGCAUACUCUCUGAAUGACUUAUUGACUUGCUUCUUGACUUUGGUAAUUUGAUACCGGUCUGGAGCCAUCUGAGUUUGAAAGUUGUAUUGACUGAGGAAAGCAUGGGCUAACUCCUCCCAGCUGUGAAUUUUGGAGUUAUCCAAUCUGGUGUACCAUGCUCUGGCUUCUCCAGUCAGACUUUUCUGAAAUAGCUGC